rnacentral:rRNA from 1 species
GCCCUAGUAACGGCGAGUGAGCGGCAACAGCUCAAAUUUGAGAUCUGGCCUUCGGGUCCGAGUUGUAAUUUGCAGAGGAUGCUUUUGGCGCGGUGCCUUCCGAGUUCCCUGGAACGGGACGCCUUAGAGGGUGAGAGCCCCGUACGGUUGGACACCAAGCCUCUGUAAAGCUCCUUCGACGAGUCGAGUAGUUUGGGAAUGCUGCUCUAAAUGGGAGGUAAAUUUCUUCUAAAGCUAAAUACCGGCCAGAGACCGAUUGCGCACAAGUAGAGUGAUCGAAAGAUGAAAAGCACUUUGAAAAGAGGGUUAAAUAGCACGUGAAAUUGUUGAAAGGGAAGCGUUUACGGCCAGACCUUUUCCUGGCGGAUCAUCUGGUGUUCUCACCAGUGCACUUCGCCAGGUUUAGGCCAGCAUCGGCUUCCGUAGGGGGAUAAAAGCAGUGGGAAAGUAGCUCCCUCGGGAGUGUUAUAGCCCUAAGCAUAAUACCCUUACGGGGGCCGAGGACCGCGCUUUUGCAAGGAUGCUGGCGUAAUGGUCGUCAACGACCCGUCUUGAAACACGGACCAAGGAGUCGAACAUUUGUGCGAGUGUUUGGGUGUUAAACCCUCACGCGUAAUGAAAGUGAACGGAGGUGAGAGCCCUUUAGGGUGCAUCAUCGACCGAUCCUGAUGUCUUCGGAUGGAUUUGAGUAAGAGCAUAACUGUUCGGACCCGAAAGAUGGUGAACUAUGCGUGGAUAGGGUGAAGCCAGAGGAAACUCUGGUGGAGGCUCGCAGCGGUUCUGACGUGCAAAUCGAUCGUCAAAUCUGCGCAUGGGGGCGAAAGACUUAUCGAACCAUCUAGUAGCUGGUUACCGCCGAAG